GAGAGCAUUUAACCAGUAGCAGUUUUCCCUGGGCUCUAGCUUGCUAUUUAUUAUAGUUAUUUGCAGACAGGAAAGGUGAGAGAAUUAAAAAAUCUCUUUCUCCUUGCCCCCUCCACAACAAGUUGGAGGACAUGUGGGUGUUGAAACAUAGCUUAACAAACAGUCCAGCCUUGAGAGAGUGGGGAGAGCACAGGGGGGCUCAGUUUAACCGUUUGUCUGGUUUUCUUCCUUUCUAAGGAGGAUUUAUUUUUCUUAGGUGGGAAAUUGCCAAAAAUAGACAGCAAAAUCAGACUGCAGUUCAGAGAUCACACUCUCAUCUCUGUGGAACCAGAUCAAGAGAAUGCUGAUGAAAUUCGCAGGGAGAUGGUUUAUGUGUAUCAUUCCUUAAGGAACAGGAGAGACACUCCCAUGAUGGGGACAGAUGACACUGCCAGUGAGGAUGGCACGGCCCAGCAGACUCACGGGCUGCGCUUUCCUUUGUCAUACUUGGAAGCACUGAAGCAGAUUUGGAGUAGCAGCACUGUUCAUGUUAAAGAGCUUAACCUCACCUCAGAUGAAGAGAAGGAAAACCUUGCCUUGUCCCUGUGGAGUGAAUGUCUGAUUGAAGUUCUUUGAUGCUUCUGUGAAUUAGCUGCUCCUCUAAAGGAGUGUUUCUGUCUAUUAAGCAUCUCCUGAGAGCGAGGCUUAUUAAAUUACUUUUUUAUCCA